GGUUUGACUCAAUAUACUCAGAAAAUGUAUUACUUUGCAUGUUGAAAUACCAUCAAUCAGAAAAUGUAAAGUGGUUUCUGUGCCCUAUUUAGAUGAUCCUGAAAAAUCUAGGUAUUCCUUUCCUGUUUGCUUGUUAAAGAAUGGUGAAAUUCUGCUCGUCUUAGGUUCGGGUUUGGUUCUGUACAAUCCACAGAGCAAUACAUUCAAGUAUCGUCAGAUAAAUGGACUUGAAGAAGUGAAUAUGUAUGCUGAGAGCUUGGUUUCCCCUCUAUUCAUUGAGGAGAAUAGCCGCGUUAUUAUGAGUAAGGCUGCAGAAAUAAGGGGAGAGAGCUAAUGAUCAUCUUUUCUGCCACUUGCCGGGUGCUGGGAAGUUGAAGCUAAUGCUGGUUGAGUUUGUUUUAUCUAUUUCAACAAAAUGCAGGGAGCAUCAGAACCACAAGAGAACAAGGCAAUAAGCUUGUUCCCAGUUUCCACCCUAUGCAGGCUAGGGAAAUUUCUUAUUGCAAUAUGUUGUAUGUAAGGGAUAUGUAUGAGAUGCAAAUGACUGUAACCAUAUUCUCUUUGAUUUGGAGCAUAUUUUGGAAAUGAUGCA